AAAGGGUGCGUAGGCGGCCUGUUAAGUCAGAGGUGAAAGACGGUAGCUCAACUAUCGCAGUGCCUUUGAUACUGAUGGGCUUGAAUGGACUAGAGGUAGGCGGAAUGAGACAAGUAGCGGUGAAAUGCAUAGAUAUGUCUCAGAACACCGAUUGCGAAGGCAGCUUACUAUGGUUUUAUUGACGCUGAGGCACGAAAGCGUGGGGAUCAAACAGGAUUAGAUACCCUAGU
rnacentral:rRNA from 1 species